CGUGCUAAUCUGCGAUAAGCGCCGGUAAGGUGAUAUGAACCGUUAUAACCGGCGAUUUCCGAAUGGGGAAACCCAGUGUGACUCGUCACACUAUCAUUAACUGAAUCCAUAGGUUAAUGAGGCGAACCGGGGGAACUGAAACAUCUAAGUACCCCGAGGAAAAGAAAUCAACCGAGAUUCCCCCAGUAGCGGCGAGCGAACGGGGAGGAGCCCAGAGCCUGAAUCAGCAUGUGUGUUAGUGGAAGCGUCUGGAAAGGCGCGCGAUACAGGGUGACAGCCCCGUACACAAAAGCGCAUGUGCUGUGAGCUCGAUGAGUAGGGCGGGACACGUGGUAUCCUGUCUGAAUAUGGGGGGACCAUCCUCCAAGGCUAAAUACUCCUGACUGACCGAUAGUGAACCAGUACCGUGAGGGAAAGGCGAAAAGAACCCCGGCGAGGGGAGUGAAAAAGAACCUGAAACCGUGUACGUACAAGCAGUGGGAGCACAGGUUUACCUGUGUGA
rnacentral:rRNA from 1 species